CUAGUUCCACAAGAGGCGCCAUUACCACGGUCGAUUUUGGGUCGUGACACAUGAUUUAUAGACUUGCCUCAUCCUCUUCUUCAAAAAUAUAGCACUAUACGAUCAACAAGUAUAAAUAGUAGCAAGAAUGUGAAGGUCGUAAAACAGAGUAGAGGAAUAAAAGAUACAAUUCACAAUAUGACACUAGUUUCAUCAAUUUCAAUCUCCUCCAUAGUUUUUCCAAUUCAUCGAGAAAAUCAAGAAUCUUCAAAUAAACUUAAUUGGUUGUGCAUUUGGAAUUACACAGCAGGUCCAACCCUACUAGAAACAUGUAAAACAGUCAUGCCAUGAUCAUAAUUAUAAGCUGCAAGAAAUAUUGGACCAUUGCUAGGGAAAAAAAAGAUGCAUUCAGUAAUGCAUAGUGUUAGAACAUAAACAAUAGCCUUCUUCCUUGAGUUUCCUCCUAGGCUGCCUAACAUAAAGAAGGAUAAAGGUAGGACAUAAUUUUAAAUAUUUAAUUAUUAUUCCUAAUUGAUUAGAGAACAAUCCACCUUAGUUGCAACAGAAAUAAUCAAGUUCUCCGUAUACGAAAUUUGUAAAGAGUAAUUUCUUUCUUUAUGCUAAGUUAAAACCUUUUUCUCAAAUCAAGUCCUGGUGAAUACAAUGAAAUUGCAAAUGACUAAGUGAUCUUUAACAAAAUCAGUAGAUCAAGUGAAUUAUAUAGUUUUGUUUUAAUGGUUUCCGAUAAUCCAGUAUGCGUCUCAAUCUAAAAUUAGAUUCUCAACCACCCUGUCAUUGAUAAUCGACUUCCAAUUAGGCAAAUUUAGCAGAACCUCAAACAAGAGAACCAGAGGCAGCAAAUAUAGACGUAAUCCUAGCCAGAAUCCUUCCAAGAUGAAAUAAGCUAAAAUAGCAAUGUUUUGUUUCCCCAUAACACUUCAUACAAGAUCUUUCCUUAAAGUAUGUCAUGUAAUAAGGAAGAUAAGAUACUACACUAAAUAUCAACAGCUCCGGUAUUUAAGACAAGUAUCUAUAAACUGAUUGACUUAUAGAAACUGGGCUUAUGGGUCAAGAAAAUAUAUACUAUGACCUGCUGCAUUUGGUACGACUUUCUCUUUGCAGAUCAAAGGUUUCAUUUCUUAUUGGUUAAUAUAUGGAUAUUUCUUUUUAUGUGUUUAAAUCCCUACUGUACAUUCAACAAUAAAGGUUUCUAUUAAAGCAGAGAAUUACCUCUUUUUCUCCAUCUCAUGUUUCAGUGUAUUAGCAAGAGUUUUCUCUCCACACUUGCGAUAUCCUGGGACAAAAGAAAGAGCCUUUACUUUAUGUAAAGCUCACACAUUCUAACAACGCAAGUAUAAUUGGUAGCACCCAAAUAUACAAGUGGAACUACCAACCUGCACUAGCAGCUUAUAAAAAAGUAGUGAUUGAAUGAUAAUUGGUAGUACAAGUAAGGCUUUAUGGAUGCACGACACACAGAUUUAUUCUUGAAAUCCCUUAAAUAUUGCAAAGAGUUUCUUCUUCUGGUGUUUUGUCACUUGUAAUUACUACAACACUCUGAUAAAAAAAAAUGCUUCAUCAUUUCAUUAGUGCUAGCUUUAUAAUACAAUUAGUUUUCUCUAAACAUGGAUUUACUUCUUGAACCUCAAUAUUCCUUAGUGAAAGACACUAAGAUUUAUCAAUAAAACUAAGGAACAAAAGGGUCACUAUAGUUUUAAUUUUAAAAAGGCAACUAAUCCUCUUAUGCUCCUAGUUGAAAUCACAGUAAUGAUUAGAUUUCACUUAAUUUUCUAAGAGAACAGAUAACACCUAAUCUCACAAAACAUUCAAUUCCUUGGAACCCAAAAUAUUUAUUGAAACAAGAAACAAACACAAUAUCUUCCUCAAGAUGAACAAUAGUAAUACUCACAUCACUAGAUGUAACUAUUUCCACUCUGAGUUUCCAUCACUAUUGAUUUUAAAAUCAGUACAAUUGAAUUGCAUUAAUUCAAUUUUCAAACAUAGAUGCUAAAAAUAUGAAUUUAGACAGAGCAGGAACUAACUUACAAUGAGAUGUGAGAAUCAAAGUAACAUAACCAAAGAGAGAUCCGCAAAGCCAGAAGUAGCCUAUUCUUUAGUAGUAUUACAACCCAAAAAAUAUAGCCAAAGUAGCUGCUAAAAACUACAUCUAUCCCAAUUCCAAAAAGCACAAAUAUACCAAAAAAUAAGUAAAUUAUAGUCACGAUCUGCUUGUGAAUCUACAAUCAAUAGAAAGGAACAUAAUUAAAAAAAGGUAAAAUAGAAAUACCAACCGUAUAAGAGAUGAGACCAUUGAUUAGACUGGAAUGGAGCUAUAAGUACUGAUGUGGAUGAACCACACUAUCUUUAUUUAGAACCUGUAAGAAAAUGGUUAAUUUGUUGCCCUAAUUUUUUCUUUGAAAAAUUUGUCGAUGCUGAUUAGGACAUGCUAACUAAAAACCUAAAUCGAAGCAUUCAAGGAAUUGAAACCCUAAAUUAGAAACAACUAAAACUAGAGAUGAAGGAGCUUACGAUUUCAAGCCAUAGCCCCAACACUGGAAGAUAAGGUUGUCGCUCAUUUGAACCUCUUAACACAAAGCACGAGUCCAAGGGUUGAACUAAUUGGGGAAGGUGAGAGCCAAAAUAAAAAUAAAAAAGGGCAGGUAUUCUUUAGGAGGCCACAAGUCAAAUAAUUUAUUGAGAAAAAUAAAUAUUUUACCAACAAGAAAAUAUUUUUGGCAACACUGACAAUUUAUUAUUGCCAAUUUAUUUAUAUCUUAAAAUUAUUAUAUUACCCAAAAG
rnacentral:lncRNA from 1 species